rnacentral:rRNA from 1 species
AUGUUUCAUUCUGGGAGAUGCAUUGCCGAGAAUUUCAUCUAUGUUGUUGACCUCCCGAGUGCUUGUCACAUCAGGAAAGCUCCAACCGUGGUGCUCAAACUUGACUUUUGCAAAGCCUUUGACUCCAUCUGCUGGGACUCGCUCCUUCUCAUCCUUCACGCUCGGGGUUUCCCGUCCACCACCAUUAAAUGGAUCAAAACUCUACUUACCUCUGGCAACACUGCCGUCCUCCUCAAUGGGACGACGGGCCCAUGGAUCAACUGUAAGAAGGGCCUCCGACAGGGUGACCCUGUAUCCCCCUACCUCUUCAUAAUCGUUGCUGACCUGCUCCAACGCUUAAUCCUACACGCCUCCUCCCCAAAUCACCUCUGCCACCCAAUCUUUCCUGAUCGCCCCCCUACGGUCCUUCAAUACGCUGAUGAUAUUCUAAUCAUAGCUCACGCUUCCCUUGAAGCCGCAGCUAUUCUCAAGGAGAUCCUCGACAACUUUGCCCUAGCUACCGGUUUAGCUAUCAACUUCCAUAAAACCACUUUCGUUCCAAUUCACACAGACCCCACCGCUAGCCACAACAUUGCAUCAACCUUCGGGUGUGGCCUCUCCUCCAUCCCCCAAAUCUACCUCAGACUCCCCCUCUCUCACACUCGCCUUCCCUCCUCCGCCUUUGAACCUAUCAUUCAACGCUUCCUAAAAUACCUCUUAUUGGGGAACGUAGUAAUUUCAAAAAAAUUCCUACGCACACGCAAGAUCAUGGUGAUGCAUAACAACGAGAGGGGAGAGUGUUGUCCACGUAUCCUCGUAGACCGAAAGCGGAAGCGUUAG